UCAUGUUUGUUCAGGUCAUAUACGCCCUCCAGUGAUGUUCUGAUCUCUUUUGGAUAACCUUGCGUUAAAUGAACGGGUUUAAAGUAAACAUUCACAAGUAAUCGGCCAUUCUUUAAGUUAUGCUGUGGCUUUCAAUAGGAGGACGCUUUGUGUAGAGAAUGUGAAGGUACGUCAGGCCGUGUUGAAUGAUGGGACGGGAGCGCCAUUUUGGGAGAUACGUACUGUAUUUACCUGCAUAAAGUUACAUUUUUAACCUUAGCUGACUGUAGCUAACUCGCAGCGGACCCGGAGAUCCCAUGGACGAGUGCGACAGAUUGAUAAAUAACUGCGCCCUGAUCUCAGUUCUCAGCUCGGGAGCUAACGGUAGCUAGCAAGCUGUCGGCAGGUGACACAAACACUGCAGAUGAAUCCAGAACAAUGAAGUGGACGUUUAAACGUAGUUGGAACAUCCGCUACAGUAUGUAUUACUACAGGAUGUUUCUAAGCAUCUUUGUGGCCGUGUAUUUCCAGUGGACAUUUGACAUAAUGACAUUUCUGAAAGUGCUGUCUGAUGAGUGGAGCACCUUGUGGUCCUUGCCUCUCCUUCCUGGUUGGUCUUUUGAUGAUGGGCUCUUUGGGUCUCUGGACUUGUAGCAUGUGUACAGCAUGGAUAUCUCAAUUUACAAUGCAACUCUUCAUCUGCACUCACAAGCAGCUUUGGUUGCCAUGUAAGGUGCCAGUGAACAUUUAACUAAACCUGAACAGGGAUGGCUCCUUUAUUCAGCAUGAGCUGAGACAAAAAUACUACUGAGCGCUGACUGCUGGAGGAGUCACAGUGAGAGAGGUAAAAGCAGAGCUUGGUUCAGUGGAAAUGUGACAGGAGAUGACAGACAGAGAAGUUUUGUUUCAGUGAACUACUUCCAUACAGUCUUCAGACUCUGCAGCAGCAGACAUUUUAUGUGUCGUGUUGUCUGGAUCUGAAAAAUGGCACAAAGGGCACUCCACUUGCUGCACUACCACUGAAGGUCGGCCCUGGACAUAAAACAUGAGGUGAGUGAGCGUCAGGGGAGAUAAGCCUGUCAUAGUUUCCCUCUAGACUGAAGUUCAGGGAGCACAUCUGAGACAGCAGGACGACUGGCCAACAGCGAUAGCCAGCCAACAUCUCCAUGAGACAGGUGAGACGAGAGAGGAGGGGGGGAAGCAGCUUGAAAAGCCUGGCAUACUCUCACAGGAACCGAGGAACUGAGGCAGACCUAUCCAUGACCGAGCCGGAGUAAUUGUUUUGCUUCCAAACCAAAAUGAUGAUUGAUGGAACUAAGUGGUGAGUGAUGAUGCAUUUGAAUGAGACGUUCAGAGCAAGCUGGAGGUUGAAUUUCCCCAUUAACAGCCAUUUGUACUCCCUGUGUAAGGGCUUGUUGAGCAGACACUCAGAUCGUAGAAAUGAGCACAACCACACGUUGUUUAUCUCUUCACCAGGCAUAAACGCUGCCUUCAUACUACUACAAACCACAGUAAAUGACAGGACAGAGUCAUCUAUUAUCCAGAACCUAUCAAAGUUUCAUGACACUCAAGCUUGUUAAUGAUUUGUUUUUGUGAUUGGAAGACAUAAUGAGAUGUGCUGACACACUGGCACAGACAUUUUGAUAAAUAUUUAUAUUUAUUAUUAGUUUAAACCAAAACAAAACUAAGCACAUAAUGAAUACAUCAAUAUUCCACCAGUGUUGAAGUACAGUUUGUGCUGGUAGGUGUGGUUUCACACCAGUCUCUAGCCACUUUUACCCUGCCCAUUAGAUGUGGGAGUUUUUAGCCUGGUACAGCUACAGAGCAGGCAUGGGAGGCUGAAGUUGACCCUCCAAAAUUCCACAACGGUAGGCAGCAUUUUUGCCCCACUGCCUGUAUAAACAGGACAAGCCAGAAUGGGGGUUGGAGGUCUCCCUGGGGUGAGAGAGAGAGAGAGAGAGAGGGAGCUAGAGAGUGCAUGAAGAGAGAGUGCAGCGUCAGUGAGAACAAAGUGUAUCAGAGAAUUCAAACUUUAUUUUGUUAUUGUUGUUACAGCCACACUUCUGCACAGCCCUGUGGGGAGGAGUUUGUGUGAAUGCAGCCCAAUUGUAGCCUUCUGUCUGUUUUGAGGCGAGAUGCACCUUGUGUGUGUAGCCCUGCCCUCAGACAGACACAAAGACCUGAUAUGGGAUCCACGUUGUAGGCUACUGUAAUUCCUGAAUUCCAUUUAUAGCCUAAAUAUAGUAAGUCAGAUAAGAUUUGCAAUCGGGCCAGUCUGUUUUGACUGAGGUGGUUAUGAUGCAUUUUUUUGGUUGGGAUUGGGUUACUGUUCAGAUUAUUAGUGGAAAAGGGUCCAGGGUAAAUGCAGCUAUUGACUUUUAUUUUCUGAAGAUGUGCUCACUUCUCAAGAAUUUCCUCAUAUCCAAAUAUGUCCUACAUGUACCUUUGACAACAAUGUUUUCCCAGUCUAAAAAUCUCCUCAGUUUUCCAUUCUCUUAAUUUAGAAAAAAUCCACAGAGUCAGUACUUUCCAAAAACAUCCUCCGUUUCCAGAAAUGUCCUCACUUUUCAAACAUGUCCUCCCGUUCCAGGCCUCAGAUUGUCCUUGCUAACGGUACAAGAAUGCUCACACAUGCCCCCUGCCUUCUGUUUUAUACUCAAACACACAUGCACACUUCAGAUGUCUCCCUUCCUACACAGUUCACAUUUCUCCACACACCUCCACAACAUGUGUACUGGGCUGUCGGGUCUAAUAAACGUUCUCAGGGUUAAUUACGCGUGCUGCCCAUUACAAGGCGUCCAAGUCACAGCUGACAUGUGUGAUUUCCCAAAUGUUUAUGAAUGGAAGCCAACAGCCCACCAGAGGCUCAUAGGAAGCAGGUGGCUGCUGGACACCAGCUUUCCACCGGGUGACGGGGGCCUUGUCCAGCCGUUUGGAAACGGUCAGGUGCCGCAACCAGGAGCUUCAUCUCCAGAUGACACACCUGAACUCUGGAGAAGAAGGGCACUUUCUCAAAUGUCACUUUUCAGAGGAGAAAAAAAAAGCGAGUGUUGAAGUGUUCCAGAGUUAAAAUCUCCUGUAUUUGCAUGACUUUUCAGAUUUCUCAAAUUACAAGCACAGCUGGUACAGUGUAUGCUCUGAGUGAACCACUUUGGCUGGUAACCACUUGUCAUUUCACCAUUACUCUGUUCAGCAGCAUAUGAAAAGGGUCAUUUCCUGCCUUGUUAUUUAAAAAGUGGUGUGUGUGAUCUGCUCUUGGCUAACCCUGGCCUGCACACUCUGUGGAAGGAAGAAAUGUCACAUAUGGCAGAACUUUUAAAUGUCAGUGUUAAUUGGAUUUGAAUUGUAGCAAAUAGAAACUCCAUACUGUACCUCGCAAACAGAGUGGGAAAUGUGUCCCAGGCCCAGUAACACCAGUCACAAAUAAGGCACAAGGGGCUUUACAGACAGUACAGCAUACACCCUGUGUCCAAACAGAUAAAGGACAAACUCCCUCCAAAAGACAAAGUCAAGAUUUUCUGUAUAUCUGCCCUUUGAGCAACUUUACUUGAAAUAAAGGGUGCACAUAGGCGUAGACUGCAUGUGUCAGUGAGCUGUCAGGCAUCACAUACCUCUAAUUUUCUGCAGUGUUAGUACUAGUUUGCCAAUGUUUUAGGUUUUUAUUCUCAGUUGCAUAAAUCACUUGCAACCUUUUAUCCAAAACCUGACAUUUAUUACUUCCCUUUCAUGAUAGGAUAAUUGAAAAACUUGCAGUCUUUCAAUUUCACUUAAAGUUGCUCAACAGGCUGAUUCUCCAAAAGCGUCAGAGUCUGUCGGUAGCUGACCUCCUCCUGAAACCUCACACACAUCAAUGCGACAAAAGUCAAGAUUUUUCUGACCUAAUGGCUUAAAUCAUUAUAAUAUAGUUAUUUUAGUGUUUGUGUCACUCCAACAGAUGUUUUUACAGUAAUGUUUAUAAAUGGGAAAAACACUUUUUAGUUAAGUUGCUGUCAUGAGACAGUCCUGUGGCCACUAUACCAACCUCCCCUCACUGUGCCAUAGAUUUUCACUUGACCCCUGAUUUGAAACACAGCUACAGUAUGCCUAUUGUUAUUAGUAUUUGUGUUUGAAUUCUCCUAAUUCUGACUGUGUGGUAAUCAUUUUACCUGCUUUGGGUGGCACCUUUGCUCGUUUUUCCAUGAAUUAAGUUCAGUUGUCUUCUGACCUACAGUGUAACACAAGGAAGCACGUGGUCAGAUAUUACAUGAAUCACUUUCCACAUCUCUUACAAGUAUUUACAGGUUUUAUUUUUAGCACUUGUUGCACUUUUUACAGGAAAACACUGCUUGUAAACUCAGGUAUGUGUUGUAAAUAUGUUUAAAGCAACCAAAAACACAAAUGCUCUAAAUAAAAAAUGCUGUAGAGAUAUUGUAACAUGAUAACUCAGUAUAGUACUGUAAUUUAUUAUCUCGGUAGCAACACUAUAUAUGAAAACACAGUAACAAUACUGUAAACACUUCCACAGUAACCUGCUGGUAGUGGCAGCUGGAUACCACCAACACCUCCCCUCUUUCCUGUCUUCAUGCAUGUACUCUGAAGAGCAUGCAAUUAAAAAUUUCCACAAGGGAAAGAAGCGCAAGAGUAAGGAAGAAGUUGUGUGUUUGUCGCCUCUCCCCAAAGUGCUGGGGUUGUUGAGAGGUUGGAGGGGGGGGAUAAAAACACACUCUGCAGUGUAUUUAGAGGCGCCGCUGUGGAUGGGAUGCCUCACCAACGCAUCACCCAUUUACACCCAUCAGAAAGCUGAGAAGGCAGCAGUGAGUGCUGUUGAGUACAACUGAGGCAGUGAAGGAAUCCAGAGGGUGUGUGUUACUGUGUGUAGUUGAGGGAAGCUUUGGGUUUUGACUUGGGAAGCUUUUUCUUUUUGAACCACACUGUUUGGUCUUCCAAAGAGGUGCACAGUGGCAGAAUUACUGCAUAUUGCCUAUGACAGCGAUAACGACUCACCGCAUAUUGGGAUUAUACUGCUGUGUGAAGUCUUGGCACCCAGCCUAUUAAAUAUGCAUGAAUGUUUGAAAUGAAUUUUGGAGGAUUUCCCCCCUCUUCAGCCCCCUCCUCCUCAUUGUUAAACUAUAUAAUCAUAUUCCUGUCUAUUAAAAUUCAGAUGAAUAAUUUAAACGCAUGACAACAGCCCAGCUCUGAAAGAGGAGGUUUCUGUUAGCAGCUGGCAGACCAGGUUGCUUUUGAUGAGUGAUGCAGGCUAAAUUGACAUUGUUGUGGUGGAAAAAAAGGCAAAGCAAAGCAAGAGAAUGAAAAACAAUCCACCAAAAAUGUCACCUCUGUGAAAUUUACACCAUGACUUCGGAAGUGUGACACAGAAACAUAUCGGCAGAUAUAAAAUAUUCAGCAAGGUUACCGUGAGGCUGCAGCUGGUGGAGACGCCGUUGUGCUGGCAAACGCCUGCCAAUCUGUGGUUGUUUCAUACAAUUUAAUUUGAGUCAAAGAUUGUAGCAGCAUGGCAGUUGUUCAGAAAUAAAUCCGGAAUGUAGGCUGCAUCUGAACAAACAGAAAAACAAUUCACAGGUUCAAACCAAACAUCUGUGAUAGUGUUGUGUACAUGUGGUGUCUGACAGUUACGGCAGAUGAAAUAAUUACACCUGAACUGAGAGUAUCGUCAGUGUCUGAAAACCUGCACCAGAACAACAGGAAAAAAGAACUAAACAUAUAAAUCUAAAGAGAAAGAAUGCGACAUAUAUAUUACACAUACUGUACAUAUUGAGACUGAAUUAAAAAACCUACAGGAAAACCACAGCAACGUUUAGGAGCAUGUAAAGUUGCUGCUGACGUUAGCAAACAGCUGGAAGAGGCUAAAACGCUGCACAGAGAUGCUGAGCUGGGGCAAAAUGUCAGCACACAAUAAAACGAGUGACUCCUCUCUCACAUUGUACACGCUUUCAUCAGUAGAUUUGCUUGAAAUAAGAGCAAGUGCCUCAUCUCAACAUUCAAGAUCCUAAUACUAAUUUGUAAAAAAAAAAAAAACAAUGACAAACGCAGAGGAAUUUAUUUGAAUUAACAUGGUGACGUAAAAGAACUGUAAGGCGAGAUACAUUAGUGAAAUGACACUCCAGUGUAUGUAUGUUGCCAUAACAGACGAAAGCUAGACUGUACACACUCGUGUGAAGGACCAGACUGAAUUGUAUAUAUACAGAUAUUGAGGAGACUGUGUGCACAUACAAAGAUGUAGCGAUAGACUGUGCAUGUGUGAGAGAGAAAUCUGAGGGACUAGGAGAGUGCAAACUUGAAAGUGAAUGCAGAAAUUGGAGAUAUACUGUAGCUGUGGGUGGAGGGCAAACUAACUUUGAACAUUCAUUGCAAUGAAGUUAUUAUCCAUCCUCUCUAGAGUUCACAGCCAAGGCUGCUGGGAAGGCUCUUCAAACAGGAGAAAGCUCCCACACACUGAACUCACAGAGCACGAUAGGAGGCUUUACCUCCAGACCUCAGAGGAAAUGUUCAAUAGGUUCAUACGUAUUUACAUGGAUGGAUAGAUAGAUAGAGAGAUAGAUUGAUUGAUUGCCUGAAUUGGAAAUCACAAAUCAAUCAAUCAAUUUCAAAAUUGACCUCUGUAUUUUCAGCUACUUUUUCUAGUAAAUUUAAGUUUUAAGCUCUGGCUGUUCUUUCUGUUGGCUAUGAUAAUGCUGUUAUUUCUGAACACUACGUCAUCCCAAAAGGUGCCGCAUUGCCAGACUAGCCAUCACUUGUGGAACCUAAACAUCUUUAAUGUCUGUCAUUACACAGGAAAAUGUGAGUAAGCACAGCUGGAACAAGGUGUGGGGGACAACGUUGAGAUAGCUGCUGAAAGUACAGUUACACAUUCCCAUAUAUCAUCAAUUGCUUUGGUGAAUACAGCUGUAGGUUAUUAUAGAACCGGUGGCUGGAUGUGUGGGGAAAAAAUAACAACAAUGAACUUGUAAUAAACAGAGUUUACCUUUUUUUAAAUAUAUUUUUGGGCACAUUUGUCCCUUCAUUAGUUAGUGGGUGGGCAGCACAGCUACACACUGGUUAACAAAAAGGUUCCAGGUUCGAGCCCCAGCUGACCCGGGGCCUUUCUGUGCGGAGUCUGCGUGUUCUCCCUGUGCCU